UGUUUGUGUCGUCUCUUUGAGUUUCGUGGAAUUGUGUGUAGACAUUUGCUUUCUGUUCUGGUAAAAAGAAAAGUCACUACAGUUCCAGAAAAAUAUAUUUUGGAACGAUGGCGCAAAGACAUUAAACGUGGAUAUCAACGAAUCACCAAUAUUUAUGAUGAUUCUUCUCAGCAUGCAGAGGAAAGACGAAGAUAUAAUAAUCUUCAACCAUUGUUACAGGAAGUGGGACAAUUUGGGUCAAAAAAUGAUGAGAGAUGUUUUGUUUUAAUAGGGAUAUUAAAAGAAGCAAAAAAAAGGUUUAUGGAUACCAAUAUUGGUGAUUCAUUGGAUGGUGUUCAGGAUAGCAACAUAAUACAUGAGGAAUCAAGAAAUGAGAGCAAAAAGUUUCACAGCCCACUGAAAGUAAGGUCUCGUGGACGUCCACCCACGAAAAGAAAACAAUCCAAAAUUGAACAAAUUGAGAAAAGGGCAAAGGCAAAGUCUCGAAAAAAGGUUUGGUUUGUAUAUUUGGGUGUAAUUUGUUACUUUGGUGUUAUGUUAUAUUGAUAAUUUAUAUAAGUACAUUUGUCUACAGGGUUCUAUAAUUGAUAGAAAGCAAGAUGACUUAUCAAACAUUGAAGAAAUUGAUAAAUCUGCAGAGAGUCAGAGAUUGUUUAGAUUGGAUAAAGAACUGUUGGUUCCUAAUGAUGUUGUUCAGACAAUGGAGAGAACAAGGUCUUUUGAGAAACCUAUUGAUUUGUUACAAAUGCAUACUGAUUUGUUGAAGGUAUCUUCUCUUAUCUAGAAAGACACAAAUUUUAAAAAGAAUUGUUCACACUCCUUGGCUUGAUGGUAGAUGCUCAUGAUUCUCUGUUUGU